rnacentral:rRNA from 1 species
CCUACGGGAGGCAGCAGUGAGGAAUAUUGGUCAAUGGCCGCAGGGCUGAACCAGCCAAGUCGCGUGAGGGAUGACGGUCCUAUGGAUUGUAAACCUCUUUUGUCAGGGAGCAAAGGGCGCCACGUGUGGCGCUUUGCGAGUACCUGAAGAAAAAGCAUCGGCUAACUCCGUGCCAGCAGCCGCGGUAAUACGGAGGAUGCGAGCGUUAUCCGGAUUUAUUGGGUUUAAGGGGUGCGCAGGCGGAAUGUCAAGUCAGCGGUAAAAUUUCGGGGCUCAACCCCGUCGUGCCGUUGAAACUGGCGUUCUUGAGUGAGCGAGAGGUAUGCGGAAUGCGUGGUGUAGCGGUGAAAUGCAUAGAUAUCACGCAGAACUCCGAUUGCGAAGGCAGCAUACCGGCGCUCAACUGACGCUCAUGCACGAAAGCGUGGGUAUCGAACAGGAUUAGAUACCCCUGUAGUC